UGUAGCAUUCUUGUCAUGGAUGCCUGGGUUCCAGUCUAUGCAGACGAGGAUCCUAUUUAAUGAAGCAUUCAGCAGGGGGCUUCGAAUAUUCCAGAUUGUUACAGGAAAGAAGUCUAAAGUCGAGGUCUGAUAUGAGCUUUGCAGCUUGCUUGAAGUGUAGAAAAAAUUUUACGGGGUGGAUAGAUUUCUUCUGCGAUCUUUGGAGAAUUUUUCUUGCUUGCAAGAGGAGAUAGCAGGUGGCUCUAUGGAUUUAAUCUGGAGUUGAAGAUGACAUUCUCUUUUGUUUUCCAUCGCCUGCUUUGGUUUCCUUUGUAUGUUGUUGUAAUUUGUUAAAUUCGCGGGUCUUCCCAUUCAUAUGCAUUUCAGGAACUCUGGUUUCUCGCGCUUUCGACUUCUCCACGUAUUUAAAGGUACAGCUUUUCCAGUAGCCUCUACACUAAUUAUAUAGCUUAGCAGCACGAUAGUUUGUGAUUAUUUAUUAUUCUUUUGUCAGAAUGUAGCAAUUUUGUUUAUCCACGCUUCUCUUUCUCAUUUUUAACCACUUGAGCUUUUGCUUUGAGAAAGGUGGUGGUAUGAGAAUUUGUCUUCUGAUAUAUAUAUAUAGGGAUGUGCAGGCAGCACCCACCUAGUUUGAAA